rnacentral:lncRNA from 1 species
AGCCUGUCAAAAGUGAACGCUCUGCAUCCAAAUUAACUGUGUGGCACAGGGCUCCUCUCUGCCGUGUUAUCAGCACUGCUUGUGGUGCCCUCAUUUUUAUGCAGUGUACACGUCCUUGUAAGGAUGGCUGGAAUACAGCAUUCAGAGCAAGACUUGUGUUCUUCCCCAGAUCGCACAUCAUGAAGUUACAUUUCCUUAGGCACAGCUUCCCUUGUUCGGGAACACUCUUCAGCACCUUCAGCUCUCUCUCUCAUUUUCACUCUAUUUGAUAUUUCUGUUGCUGAAGAGGAACUGAUACUCUGCACUGGAGGAAAGGACAGCAUCAAUUAUUGCAAGAACCAGUUUGGCAUUGCAUUCAUUCUAAUGUCCAUGGGAAUGCAAUUAUGCAUCCAGCUCUCUGAAAUCCUCAGGGAACUCAGGACAAUCUGUAUUAGGGACCCUCGCUGGCUUCUCAUGGACUCCCUUGGGUCACUCUCAUGUCCCUCUGCCACCCGGUGUGUGAGGAGCUGUGUAUAACAGGACAGGGCUGAGAGAUGUAUGUGCUGCUGCUUGUGAGCAG